GAUGAACGCUGGCGGCGUGCCUAAUACAUGCAAGUCGAGCGAACAGAUAAGGAGCUUGCUCCUUUGACGUUAGCGGCGGACGGGUGAGUAACACGUGGGUAACCUACCUAUAAGACUGGAAUAACUCCGGGAAACCGGGGCUAAUGCCGGAUAACAUUUAGAACCGCAUGGUUCUAAAGUGAAAGAUGGUUUUGCUAUCACUUAUAGAUGGACCCGCGCCGUAUUAGCUAGUUGGUAAGGUAACGGCUUACCAAGGCAACGAUACGUAGCCGACCUGAGAGGGUGAUCGGCCACACUGGAAGUGAGACACGGUCCAGACUCCUACGGGAGGCAGCAGUAGGGAAUCUUCCGCAAUGGGCGAAAGCCUGACGGAGCAACGCCGCGUGAGUGAUGAAGGUCUUCGGAUCGUAAAACUCUGUUAUUAGGGAAGAACAAAUGUGUAAGUAACUGUGCACGUCUUGACGGUACCUAAUCAGAAAGCCACGGCUAACUACGUG
rnacentral:rRNA from 1 species